rnacentral:rRNA from 1 species
UACGUAGGGGGCGAGCGUUGUCCGGAUUUAUUGGGCGUAAAGAGCGUGUAGGCGGCCAGGUAGGUCUGCUGUGAAAACUCGAGGCUCAACCUCGAGACGUCGGUGGAAACCGUUUGGCUAGAGUCCGGAAGAGGAGAGUGGAAUUCCCGGUGUAGCGGUGAAAUGCGCAGAUAUCAGGAAGAACACCCGUGGCGAAGGCGGCUCUCUGGGACGGUACUGACGCUGAGACGCGAAAGCGUGGGGAGCGAACAGG